UGGAAGGUUCUAGAAAUGCCUAGAGAUGUCCACACAUCUCUACACUAUGGUGGAAGGCAUGGGAGGAGUCCAAGGCUUUCUAGAGAGUUCUAGGAAUCUCUUGUAUAUUCUUGUACAUAGGGUUGUACAUAGAAUAGGGUAGGAUGUUCUAGAAUAUUCUUGAUUUGUAAGGGAACCCUCCAAGGUUCUAGAGAGUUCCCUUGGUGCCUAUAAAUAGGUGAGGGCCUCAUUUGGCCAAGGCACCACCCAAAUCACUUCCUAACCAAGCAAGUGAGCAUCCAAG
rnacentral:lncRNA from 1 species